rnacentral:misc_RNA from 1 species
AACCAUAGAAACCUGCGGAGUACCUGCGGAGGGAUCAUUAAUGAAAAAAUGGCGGCCCAUAAUCUGGGUUGUUCAUCAGUUCUAUUGUGAUACUAUUGAAGCAUAAUAUCAGGGCUUAAAGAUGGGGUUUUUAAAAGUGAGUUUUUUUUGGCUUACCUUUAAGAAAACCGGCCCUGAUUUAUUUUAAAUAAGCCAAUUUUGACCUUUUUGACUGAAAAAAUUGAAUUUAAUAAUUCAAAA